rnacentral:rRNA from 1 species
ACGCUGGCGGCGUGCCUAAUACAUGCAAGUAGAACGCUGAAGAGAGGAGCUUGCUCUUCUUGGAUGAGUUGCGAACGGGUGAGUAACGCGUAGGUAACCUGCCUUGUAGCGGGGGAUAACUAUUGGAAACGACAGCUAAUACCGCAUAACAAUGGGUGACACAUGUCAUUUAUUUGAAAGGGGCAAUUGCUCCACUACAAGAUGGACCUGCGUUGUAUUAGCUAGUAGGUGAGGUAACGGCUCACCUAGGCGACGAUACAUAGCCGACCUGAGAGGGUGAUCGGCCACACUGGGACUGAGACACGGCCCAGACUCCUACGGGAGGCAGCAGUAGGGAAUCUUCGGCAAUGGGGGCAACCCUGACCGAGCAACGCCGCGUGAGUGAAGAAGGUUUUCGGAUCGUAAAGCUCUGUUGUAAGUCAAGAACGAGUGUGAGAGUGGAAAGUUCACACUGUGACGGUAGCUUACCAGAAAGGGACGGCUAACUACGUGCCAGCAGCCGCGGUAAUACGUAGGUCCCGAGCGUUGUCCGGAUUUAUUGGGCGUAAAGCGAGCGCAGGCGGUUUGAUAAGUCUGAAGUUAAAGGCUGUGGCUCAACCAUAGUUCGCUUUGGAAACUGUCAAACUUGAGUGCAGAAGGGGAGAGUGGAAUUCCAUGUGUAGCGGUGAAAUGCGUAGAUAUAUGGAGGAACACCGGUGGCGAAAGCGGCUCUCUGGUCUGUAACUGACGCUGAGGCUCGAAAGCGUGGGGAGCGAACAGGAUUAGAUACCCUGGUAGUCCACGCCGUAAACGAUGAGUGCUAGGUGUUGGAUCCUUUCCGGGAUUCAGUGCCGCAGCUAACGCAUUAAGCACUCCGCCUGGGGAGUACGACCGCAAGGUUGAAACUCAAAGGAAUUGACGGGGGCCCGCACAAGCGGUGGAGCAU